CUUCAAGAACAAAGGAUAACCAACAAUCAAUAAUUGACACACAGCUUUAUCCAUUGAGCCUGCGAGUGGCCUGAAGACAUCAUUCCCAAAAUAAAUGUCCAACAGAUUCCAAACUAUUUAUACUAGGACUUUUUGCACCAGCAAAGAACUGGAAACAAAUUGAGAGCCCUCUGCCCUCCGGAGGCCAGCUCUGUGCAUGCAGGUCCUAGGUCGCCCUCCUGCCUAGGAAGAGAAGGGAAAGACAUCUCCAUCUCUGGAGCCAGCUGAGCCUGCAGAGGACCAAGGCCUGACCCAGCAGGGAGCCUGGAGCCAGAGGGAAUGGCCCCUGGGAGCCGCAGACCCCCAGCCCAGGUCGACAGUAAUGGUGCCAUGACUCGAUGGAACUGAAGGAAUGGAAGAAAACUCCAGCCAACCCCAGCAACGCUUAGUGGCUCAGGCGCCUCAGGAUCCGUUUUUCCUGGAGUCUUAACAUUCAUGGGGUCGGGUAACUUUCCCCUAUUCCCACCUUCCAUGGACCUCCCAUUAGUUUGGUUGAAGUCUGCCUCCUCACACGUGGUCCGAGAUCUCGAGCUUGGUGGGAGACCGCUGAAAUACGGCAAGCAGGUUUUUAUGCGGUUAAAUUCUGUCUGAAACCUCCCAGGGCUGGAUUACUCUGUUCCCUCCAGGUGACAUUUGUUCUGGAAUGCCCCCUGUUCCCGUCCUAUUGUGCCGACAAUUGUGCUAUUGUCCCCCUCCCCUAUCCUGGGCGGAGAAGUUACUGCGCCUGAGAUUCACUAAGUGUGCUCUUAUCUUGAUUUUGGGGUCUUCUUGGAACCAUCAGCUUUGGGCUAAGCCCAGGCCCACCUACAGUAUACCUGCUUCAUUUCCUGGACUUGUUUUUGUAACUCUCUGCACCAUUCUACCUGUGGAAACUUAAGCCUUAACAUACUCAUUCUGGAAGAAUAAGAUAUAAGUCUUCCUGUGUCAACAGCUAAAACUGAUCAAGAGUAUUCUUCUGUUUAUGACCACUAAGGCGCCUUUAACCCAGACACUACCUGUGUGUGUGUGUGUGUGUGUGUGUGUGUGU